rnacentral:tRNA from 1 species
GCGGGCGUAGUUCAAUGGCAGAACCGGAGCCUUCCAAGCUCCUGACGCGGGUUCGAUUCCCGUCGCCCGCUCCA